UUACCGAAAGGGGAGCAAACCCCUACCAAAAACCGCCCGCGCGUUCCGGGAAACCGAUCGUCAAGCCCUCCAACAGGAGAGCCACACCCGCGAACGAAAUUGCUUAUGCGAUGCUGGGCGAGUGGCGACUCGCCGAGCGUUCCCCUCCGCCCCCUCUCUCGCCGCCCGCGAGAGAGGGAGGAGGAGGAGGAGGCGCUCGAAUCAAAGCGCACCCACAUUCAACCCCACUAAACUCUGAAUCUGAACUCAAAAAGGAGGCGCGGUCCCUCGCGACGGCGCCCCCUCAACCUUUAACGUUGUAAAACUUUCAGCGACGGAUGUCUUGGCUCCCACAACGAUGAAGAACGCAGCGAAAUGCGAUACGUCUUGCGACUUNNNNNNNNNNNNGAAUCAUCAAAACUUUGAACGCACCUUGCGCUUCCGGGAUAUGCCUGGGAGCAUGCUUGUCGGAGUGUCUGUUGACACCACUCACCCCGCCUCUCUCUCUCCUCUUGCGAUCAAAAGCACGAUGGGGGAGGGGUCGGUGGCGGACUCUGCGUGUUCCGGAGACCUGGCUCUCCGAGUGCACCCAAUCUCGUGAACGAAACUUCUACCGCCUAGCUGCGCAGAGUUGUUGACGGCGUUCUGCCCGCAAGGGCGACGACUCUCGACUCGCCAACGCGCCUCGAGGCUGGCAGGGGUGCUAUUCCGGUGGCCUUUAACGGCCUCCUACUUUCGUUCG
rnacentral:rRNA from 1 species